UCAAAUUCUUUAUGAACAAUGUAUACAGUGGAUAUGUGAUCUUACUGCUGUUUAUUUCCAGUGGUGGAAAAUAUCUUCUUUGCAUCACAGGUAAAGAAUGAGAACUACAGCCCGAUCUGAAGGAGUUCAUCACCACCUAACCCCUGAUCCGGAGGAUAAUCUUCAAUUCAAAGACUGAGAUUUCCAGGAAUUCUAGAAAAUAGUCACAAUAUCCUGUAGCACACCGAGUUUGGAUCAAGAUCAUAGCAAGCAAAAAGUAGUCCAUUUCAGGUAUUUCAGGUGGUAUAUCCUCACCACUUAAGGAACUACCUCCAUGGAACAAGGUGGCAGAAACAAAUACAAAGAGUACCAACCAGAGGAGUCUACUGUUCACACUCAGAAGACACAUGCUGAGGAGAGGCAGCAGUCUGAGGCUUGGUGAGAACUCAUGGAGACAGGACCAGCAUAUUCAGCCUGAG